rnacentral:rRNA from 1 species
CCGACGGUGAGGGGCGAAAGCUGGGGGAGCAAACCGGAUUAGAUACCCGGGUAGUCCCAGCCGUAAACGAUGUGCGUUAGGUGUAUCGGUGACCACGAGUCACCGAGGUGCCGAAGAGAAAUCGUGAAACGUACCGCCUGGGAAGUACGGUCGCAAGGCUGAAACUUAAAGGAAUUGGCGGGGGAGCACCACAACAGGUGGAGCCUGCGGUUUAAUCGGACUCAACGCCGGGAAACUCACCAGAUAA